rnacentral:rRNA from 1 species
AUUGAACGCUGGCGGCAUGCCUUACACAUGCAAGUCGAACGGCAGCACGGGUGCUUGCACCUGGUGGCGAGUGGCGAACGGGAGAGUAAUACAUCGGAACAUGUCCUGUAGUGGGGGAUAGCCCGGCGAAAGCCGGAUUAAUACCGCAUACGAACUACGGCUGAAAGCGGGGGACCUUCGGGCCUCGCGCUAUAGGGUUGGCCGAUGGCUGAUUAGCUAGUUGGUGGGGUAAAGGCCUACCAAGGCGACGAUCAGUAGCUGGUCUGAGAGGACGACCAGCCACACUGGGACUGAGACACGGCCCAGACUCCUACGGGAGGCAGCAGUGGGGAAUUUUGGACAAUGGGCGAAAGCCUGAUCCAGCAAUGCCGCGUGUGUGAAGAAGGCCUUCGGGUUGUAAAGCACUUUUGUCCGGAAAGAAAUCCUUGGCCCUAAUACGGUCGGGGGAUGACGGUACCGGAAGAAUAAGCACCGGCUAACUACGUG